UACAAAGGAGACAAGUGUUAUUCAUCUUUAUUAGGUUUAAAGGGUACCUAGACAGCAUUAUUAGCCUCGUGUAAGGUACUAUUUUGCUAGAGUUUUCUAUACGGGAGGAUAUUUGUAGUAUUGAAGGAGUAGAGAUAAAAAUUUGUUGAUCUCUUCAGGACGGAUAAAGGUGAAAACAAGCCUCUAUGUAUAAAACGGACGUUGAGGGACGAAGGCAUUGUAUAACGAACAGG
rnacentral:rRNA from 1 species